CGAGCUGCAAAACAGCGCCGCAAGGUGCUUACCUGAGUCCGCCCAGCCAACGUCCUGGGCGGUCCCGCCAAUGCAAACAGAAAGUUUAGGUCACAGAAAUUUCACUUUGACCAGUGGACUCGCAGAGCCUCGGCAGGUCCCUGCUGACAUGGACUCCACCCUGGGUAACUGGUAACAGAAGGCCUCUGAGAAACGGGGAGAUCUAGGGGUGCCAGGGGUCUUUUUGAGCCAGGCACACACACCCAAAUUCCUCCAGGGCACUUCCUCAUCCUGCAACCUCAGAUAAGAUCUUCUCUUUUAAUUUGUGCUAUUAUCUGAGCCUGCCAUAACAUUUUUUUCUUCCUUUUUCAGAUCACUUAUUUCACUUGAACAUAUUUAUAGGGUACACUGUGAUAUUUGGAUACAUAUAUACAAUGCGUAAUGACCAGAUAGAUCCUGGUAGUUGGCAAUCCACCAUCUCAGAUGUUCAUUGCUUUGUGUUGGGAACAUUCUGGCCCCUUUCCACCAGCUAUUUUGAAACAUACCAUUUAUUGUUGCCAGCCAUAGUUACCAUACUGUGCUAUAGCCCAUCUGCAGUUACUUCUAUGAACUGCAUGCCUGUACCAGGUAACUGUCCUCUUUCUGUCUCUCUGCCAACACCAGUCCAUUUUUAUUAUAACAGUAAUAUCUCUUCAUUGUAGAAAACAUAGAAGGGGAAAGAAGCAAAAAAAACAAAACACACUUCACCCACCAUUACUUACCCGAAUCAGUUCUCAGCAAAUGUGUCUCCACAAGACACAUGCCGUCGGGUCACAUGCAGGGACCCCUUUCCUUAGACUUCCCCCAUUUGUUCUCUUUUCAUCCUCGUGGCUCACACGCUCAUAAAUAGUGAGAGCUGGAGUUGGAGGUGAGCUGUCAGGGCCGGGAAAAGUAAGAAGCACUCGCAACCACACAGCAGAGGUGGAGGAGGGCACAAUACGUCCCCAGGUCUUGCUCUUUCUAUUCCUGUGCUAAACUUCACACAUUUGUUAGACCUCAGCGCUCCCCUGGCCUCUGGCAACCAGCCAUGUGCUGUGUUCUGGAGUUCAGUGACAUGUUUUAGGAGUCAUCCGAUGGACAAAUUGAGCCACUCUAUUCUGUUGAUUCUGAAGUCUGCUUACCAAAUCUGAAAAUGGGAUUUAAAACUGCAAUUUCUUCACCAUGACUAUAAAAUCAGCUGGUUUCCCAUUUAACUUUCAGAUUGAAAGUCCUAAUGAGUCUUUUAAAAGGACUCUAAUGAGUUUAUGAAUUGAAUUACUUUGGGACAUGAAAUGAAAUAUACGAGAAGAAAAGAACAGGAAAACAGAUGUGCCCCUGAACUAGAUUCCCCACAAACUGAGUCCAAAUUUCCCAACCUACUGCCCACCAUCAUACUUUCGAGUUCACAGAAUCACCCUGGCGUCCUUGAGACCGUGAUGUGGACUCUUGACAGUCUACAGGUGAAGACUGAGUUCACCUUUCAGCAGACCCUAGUAUAGGGCUCCUGGUUUGAGGAGGGCAUAUUUGGCAGUGCACAGCUUACCCUGAUGUGUAAAGAGUCACACACAACAUAAGUAUCUGUCAGUAAAAUUUCAAUUCUACUUUAAAACAUGUUUUACUUCAUUAUCUAAAAACUCACAGCCAGGCCAUGUCCACUACCUAAAGAAGCAACAAUGAGCCAUAUUAGUAUUUGUUCCUAAGGUCUGCCAUGCAUACUUUGCUUUGCCCGGUAUCAAGUGAUUUCUUGCUCUGAUCACCUCCUGUUGACCCCUCCCCUUUUAUUUCAUUCUGUUAUUUCAUUGGUCGUUUGAACCCAAUGCAUUUAAAGAGACUGCUGCAGAAUGGGAGCUGUUGAGAAAGACUCCUUCAGUUCUUAAUUUGUUCAGUACCUCACUUCCUUCCAGACCUCUCCAUCCUGCAGUCCAGUUGUUACUGGUCUGACAUGUUAAACUUGAAUAAUAAUUACUGAUAUAUUUGGCUUUUAAAUGCAUUUAUUUCAAAUAUUAGUAUUUGAGCAUCAUUAGAAAAUAAAAUUUUGCCAUGACAUUAACUCAUAACUGAGUACUAUAGCUGGGAAUGGUGGCACAUGCCUGAAAUCCUAGCACUCAGGAGGCCAAGACAGGAAGGUUGCUGUGAGUUCAAGGCCAACCUAAACUACAGAGCCAGUCCCUGUCUCAAACAACAAGCCACCCAACAACAACAAAAGAACUAGGUAACGUGGCUUCGGGUUAGACUAUCCAUAUGAUAAAAGAUGACAGUGGAAGACUGUUUUGAGUGAAUGUAGCCUCUUGGGGUUUCAUCCAUUGUGUUUCAUGUUUGUGUUUAUUGUAUAUGAUUUGGUCCUACAGUUGAAGUCCUCAAAAUCAAAAUCAUUGUAUUGAUUGUUGUUUUUCUUGGCUAAGGUUUGUCCUUCGCAAAAUGCUAUUUCCUGUCUUUCCGAUUCAUAAUCUUAAAAGUCCCAUACAGAGCUGGGUGUGGUGUCAAUGCCUAUAUGCCCAGUGACUUGGAAGACAGAGGCAAAAGAAUCACUUGGUCCCUAGAGUUGUAGAUCAAGCAAUAUAAUCAGACUCCACUUUGAAAAAAUAAAAUUAAAUCUCCACUAGACAAUCAAAAUAUAGGGUCCAGGACAGUGGCUUCAUUAUAAGACAAAAUGGGAAAAAGAUCACAUAGAAUUAUAUGAAUAAAAAUGUGUGCUACAAAAUAUUUUGUGUUGGAAGAUUAAUCUGAGUAAUUUUUCCUCUUCUGCACCUUUCUAUUCCCGAUUCACUUGUGAACUUUUGGUUAUUUGGAUUGCAAACCAUCAAAAGAUCAUAAAAGCUCUUUGGUCACAGAGGUUAUAGGAAGUACAGGAACUUCAGACAGAUUUAUUACCACCAGUCAUAUAUUACAUCUGCAUGACACAAAUUUCCUUUUGAACUAUUUCAUUAGUAUUCGUGUCUCUUAUCUCACUACAGCUUAUCUCAUUCACAUCUAUGCUCGGCGUAUCAAAAUAGUCUUUCUUCAAAUGUGACUUUUCCGAUUUCUCAGUCUAAUUUCAUCGGUUGGUAAUGAAGCCAGUCAAAUUGAGGAAAAGUGGUAUGAUCUCCUCUGACUCCAAGCUUGUCUUUCCUUUCCAGCUGUUCACUAGAUAGGUUUGAUAUCAUCACUCCACCUUUUUCAAGGGAAGGAAGCCUAGAAUUAAUGGUUGCCAGGAAUCUUGGCAAAUUCUUCUUUGUUUAAACCCAGCCUAAUAUUCAAUUGGUUUCUCUAGAAGCAGCCCAAAAGAUGGCGAUUUGAAUGCAAGUAAUUUAUCUGGGAGAUGAUCCUCAGAUGUCCCACAGAGAGACAUGCAGGGUGGAGAAAUGGAGAACAGAGACAUAAAUGGACAUCUGAGCCCCUAUUGUAGGCCUGGGUGCUCAGCCCACUGGAGAGUGAGACAGUGGAUAGCGUCAGAGUGAAGGAAUGAUCUGUUUCUUCUUGAUUUGCCAGCUGGUCUUCCUUCCUCAAGAGCUUUCUGAUGAUCAGAUUUCCUCCCACAGAAGAAUGGCCAAGAACAGGCAAGCUGUAGAGUUCUGUCAUCAACCUACACACAGGGGUAGAGUACGUUUGCACAUGAUCUAACAGGGAGAAGAGUUGUAUCCUAGCACAAUCCCAGAAAAGACUUUAAAAUGUGAAUCACUGGGAUUUUUUCUUUGAAAAAUCUCUCUCAUUUCAUUUGGGAUGAACUCCAAACUCCUUGCCAUGGCCUACCAAGCCCCAUGUGACCUGGCCUCUGCCUGAACCUCCACUUCCACCUGGAGCUUGACACGACUCCCCACCUCACACAACCCCCCACCCCACACCCACUGUGCUCCAUGCCCCAGCCACACUGGGCUCUGUAAGCUUUGAACACAACAAGCCCAUUUGUACGGAGACUGCUGUACACAUCUCCAUUCUCCCCACAGUGAGCACGGCUGGGUACUGCUCACCCUUUAGAUCUCAGAUGGACUGUUUCCUCUCCUGAGUCCUUCUCUGCCCGGCUUCUCUAGGUAGUCACCCAGCCCUGUCCACACCACACACACACACACAGAAAGACACAUGCACACACACUUCCUCUUGGAGCUUGACGUUCCUUGUCUUGCUGUAGCUCUACAAUUCCUAAUUAUAUGUUUGCUUUAUUUAUUGUUCCUGUCAAGGACCGUGACCAUUUUUCAUUUCUUGCCUGGUGCUUGUCCCAUGGUGCUCAAGAAACAUUUGCUGAAAUAUGAAUGAAUGAAAUGGCAUUCAUCAAGUCCUCUUCCCUGAAUAAUGUCCUACAUGAAGCAGACAUUAGUCUGCACUGACCAUAAGAAAUAGGAGUGGAAGGACCGGAGCAUAUCAGAAACCCCUACAGCCAAAAAUACAGGGAUUCUCAAUCCAGGUCAGUGUACUGCUGGUUCUUCUGAUAGCAGCAGCCCCAGAGGGUGUGAGGUAGAAGGCACAUUGCUCUCUGUGCCUUCUGUUUACAGAGAGAUCCAGUCUUUCUUGGCAUCUACAAUCCUUUCAAAUCCUCUCUAAUCCUUCUAUAUCUCCUGCCAGUACCAUAUCUUGAAAGUAAUAAGCCCUUUUAAUUUUAUGAUUUGUGGCAUGAUGUAUUCCUGUUUAUUUGGUCCCAGUUUUCCUCAUUCAAAGUUGCAGUAUAUGAUGGAAAAAAAUGUGUAUCUAUCUUAUCUGUGUCACUCACAAUCUUCCUGUUUCCAUACGUCCCCUUCCCUUCCAACAUAGACCUCUCCAAUGGAGACUCCAGCUUCCGGCUCCAUCUUUCUGUGGUGCUUCCCCUCUCAAAGUUACCACUGGACUUUCUCCAGAUCCACUCACAGCUCAGUGAGUUGUGCCAACAGGCCUGGACAUGUUAUUCUCAGUCUGCAGGUACCAAAACAUAAUUUUUCAAAAUGUUUUUCUUGAUGAUGUCAAAUCCACGCAGGCACACAAAGCAGCGAUUAAACUGCUAAACAGAGAAGAGUCUUUCAUUUUCUAAAUAUUUGGAUUAUUUCUUGCCCAGUGUAAGGACUUAUUCUCAUUUUCAUGUACCAAUGCUUCAUUGCUUAAUCACAGAGACUCCAGCAUUCACUGUCCUUGGUAAUCUAGCACAGGCUUCCUGGCUCUUAGCCGCCGAAGUUUAAGGCCACCCAUGGCCAAGUACUUUAUCCCUCACACUGAUAAGUUCAGUCAUAGAUGAUCGAUUAUCGCUAUGGAAAUGUUCUUUAUACACUCCACAUACCGCAGUACCCACUUACCUAUACCUACUGCCUCUUGACAAUCUAUGAAAGAAAAGCAAGACAGCUUUUUCUCCCAGUACACAGAGACACAGCCAUCUCCUGCUGUCACCUGCUUUUGUCUGUGUAUCUGUUACCUAUUAUCUGUCUGUAUCAUCUACAUCUACAUCUGCAUCUAUAUCCUUGUCUGUGUAACACGUCAAAGCUACUCUGAAAAUUAAAUGUGACUUUAUUGCCCAAAAGCCUGUUUGCCCCCACAAAAUGCUCCAAUAUAAUGAUCAAGUAUUUUUUUCUUCUUGCAGAAUGCAUGUUUUCUGAACCCCAAUGAUUUUUCUUUUGAGACAUUAACUGGGGAAAGUUCAAGAAAUCCUGGCAAGACAAUGAAAUGGGAUGCUUCCUUAGACAAGUGGAAUUUUACACACCCUGUAAACCCAAAGGUAAAAAGGCAUGGAUAAAAAUAGACAAAUGAUGCUAUUUUUUUUUUCUGAGCAGCAGGUUUCUAGGUGAGUUGUUUUCUUCUUUUAUGCAUUUCUAUAUUUCCCAAAUUGUCUCCAACAAAUAUAUAUUUUUCAGUCAAGGAAGAAAACUAGUAUUUAAAAAAGGAACUGUGGAUAUACCCCAGAUGGCAGUGCUCUCUAAGGUCACAGGUAACAAACACCCCCAAUUACUCUGCACGGUUUUUUGACAAAUGUUAAGUGACAUCAUGAUGGCCAUCAAGGAUUUCAAAGAAAACCAGGUGUGCAGUUCAGUAGCAGAGCAUGCGUUUAGCCUGGGCUUGAUCCCCAGCACCCCACCAAAAAAACACAGUGGUGGUGGUGGUGAUGGUGCAGAAUGGGAUACCCAGUCCCCCAAAACAUAGACUUGAUGGAAAGAUGGCUCAUUCAUCCAGCCAGUAUUUAUUUGGGACCUACCCUCCAAAACAGUUUCUCAGAAAGCUUUGUUUCUUUGAGCAGAAAAACAAUGUUUAAGAGGCACAAGCUCUGGAUCCAGAUCUCAUGGGUUCAGACCUCACUGUAUCACUUAUUAGUGGUGUGACUUCUGACAAAUUACCUAACCUCUCUGUGCCUCAGUGACUUAGUCCAUAAAAUAAGACCAAAACAGAAAACAACAUCAGCAGACUGGAAGACUCUAGUACGUUAACAGCUACGAAGUGCUCGGGAGAGUGCCUGGGCCAGAACCAAAGCCAGGUGGUCACCAACAACUUCAGCCUCGUUCACUCCACACCUGAGGGCUGCAACCAAACGCUGCUAAGCCAAGUCCACCUCCAGGCCCCGCUCUGUUUUUCACCAAAGGUGAAGGAAGAAGAAGCCAAACGAUGCCCUGCACAUGGCUCUGCCUCAGGAGCUGUGGAACAGAACUGCCUUUCUUACAGACUUGUUGGGGAGAUGAGCCAUGUGUAUACAAGGUUGGUGUUUUGAGGAGUCGUUGGGGUCUUUAAAAAGGAGCCCUUCAGUCACUGAGCCUGCCCCUGAGGGGCGACUGGGGGACUGCACACUUUCUCUUCUUUUUCCUGGCCAUGAGGUAAGAAAUUUGUUCCACUGUUCCCUCCGUGCCAUUCUCCCUGUACUCCCAGCAAAGGCUCUUAUCAAGCCUGUUGGUGCACACCUACAAUCCCAGCACUUGGGAGUCUAAGGCAGGAGGAUCGCCGUGAGGUCCAGGCUGUGCUGCAUAGGGAGUUGAAGACCAGCCUGAAAUACAUGGGGAGAGCCUGUCUAAGAAGGACAUGGAGGCGGGAGG